rnacentral:rRNA from 1 species
AGUUUGAUCCUGGCUCAGAAUGAAACCUGGCGGUGUGCCUAACACAUGCAAGUCAAACGACAAUUUAUUUGGAGUGGCGGACGGGUGAGUAACACGUAAGAACCUACCUUUAGGAGGGGGAUACCAUCCCGGGAAACUGGUGCUAAUACCCCAUAUGCUGAGAAGUGAAAUGGUAUUUAACCGCCUAGAGAGGGGCUUGCGGCUGAUUAGCUAGUUGGUGGGGUAAUGGCCUCCCAAGGCGACGAUCAGUAGCUGGUUUGAGAGGAUGAUCAGCCACACUGGGACUGAGACACGGCCCAGACUCCUACGGGAGGCAGCAGUGAGGAAUUUUCCGCAAUGGGCGAAAGCCUGACGGAGCAAUACCGCGUGGAGGAAAAAGAAGACCUGUGGGUUGUAAACUCCUUUUCUCAGAGAAGAAUACUGACGGUAUCUGAGGAAUAAGCACCGGCUAACUAUGUGCCAGCAGCCGCGGUAAUACAUGGGGUGCGAGGUUUAUUCGGAAUGAUUGGGCGUAAAGCGUUCGUAGGUGGUUUCACGAAGUCCACUGUCAAAGAUCAGGGCUUAACCUUGGGCAGGCAGUGGAAACUCGGAAACUCGAGUCAGGUGGGGGCUGAAGGAAUCAACAGCGUAACAGUGAAAUGUGUAGAUAUUGUUGAGAACACCGAUGGAGAAAUCAUUCA